UACGGAGGGUGCAAGCGUUAUCCGGAAUCAUUGGGUUUAAAGGGUCCGUAGGCGGAUAAUUAAGUCAGAGGUGAAAUCCCACAGCUUAACUGUGGAACUGCCUUUGAUACUGGUUAUCUUGAGUUACAUUGAAGUAGAUAGAAUGUGUAGUGUAGCGGUGAAAUGCUUAGAUAUUACACAGAAUACCGAUUGCGAAGGCAGUUUACUAAAUGUACACUGACGCUGAGGGACGAAAGCGUGGGGAGCGAACAGG
rnacentral:rRNA from 1 species